rnacentral:piRNA from 1 species
ACAAAGGUCAUGUGUUGGAUAAUAUUCCGGU